AUGCAGAGGCCAGCUGAAGCCUGCGGGCGGCACUGCUGUUCACGGAGCUGGCUGAGGGAGGGUUUCUGGGCUUUACCAAGAACUGUAUGGAGUCCUGUGAGAUGCGAGAAGGGGUGUCCCAAAACUUCAAAGCCAAACGACGCUUUAGAUUUUCACAGAAACUUCCAACAGGGACGGUCCGGCCUCAAGUCCACAGGCGAGGCUCCUGGCAGGGCAGGCAGUGCUGGGGCCUUCGGGGGUGUCUUCACUUCUAGGGGUCCUCUGACCCAGCACUGCCACGUCCAUGUGCCCCGGCUGCCUGGGAAAACCUCAGCAGGGCCAUCAAAGGAGGCCAUUGCCUACAGCCCCCCUUCCCAUGCCUGCUGGGAGCCACACAGGACCCUCCAUGGGGGGCAUCUGUCCAGGGCCCUGUGGGGCUGCUGCUGCUGCAGGACACCAUCAGCAGAGGGGUGGUGGCGGCAGGGGUGGGGACCUGGCUGCUUCCUUCCUCCAUCUCUUUACACUUUCUUCUCUCUGAGCACUGUCCCCCAGGGGACCCUGAAGCUCAGAGGCUCCCUGACCCCACAGGACCCUGUUCCUCCCGUUGGACUGUGUGACCAGAGCUUCGUCUCCUCCCCAGGUCCCCCAGGCACAUUUUCAGAGAGAAGCCCUCCCUCCCUCAUUACAGCCCCUUGCCUGGGAACUCUGAGUGUGGCUCUGGGAAUCCCACAGGGAUCGCUAUGGUGGGGUCGACGGGCCUCGAGACCAAGGCUGGCCCCUGUCUUCACAGGUGGGGAAACUGAGGCACGGGGAGGUCAAGUGCCUGAGUCUCAUACCGGUCUGGGGCAGAGACAACAGGCCUGUGGUGCUGCCCCCCAGUUCAGCGGCUUGGGUGUGAGCCGCACAUCCACCCCAGUUUUCCCUGUAGAAGCCAGGGGGAAGGGGGCCACGGUCCUCUCCGCCCGUCCCUUCACCACCUGAGCUGGAGAGAAGGGCAGUGUUUUGCUGAGAGGAGGUGGUAACUUCCACAGUCUGAGAAAGAGGGACGAGGCAUCGCUGUGGGGACAAUGGACAGGGGGUUGCGGCAGUGCAGAGACGGGCUGGGUGUAGACACAUUCCUCCUGCAGCCUGCGAGGCCCAGAAUGCCAGCAAGAACAGGGCUGUCUGCCAGCAAAAGAGAGCCAGACCGCCGAUGGCUCCAGGGACAUCCCCUGCGGGAAGGCCCUCAUCACAGCCGGCAAGGGAGAUGGAUGCUGGGACGGGGAGGCUCCCGGGGGAGGCACACGGUCCCCACAGGAGGAGACCCCGACUGGAUCGGGCUUGGCUCCCUGGGGGUAGAUGCCGUGCUCGGGAUGCUGUCAAAGAAGCAGAACAGAGCAGAACAGAAGACACUGCCACAGUCUGGACCAGCAGUCACCUCUCUUUAGACAAAGGAGCACAUGUCACCGCCCACCAUGUCCACCAAUGGGCAGUGAUCUCCCCUCAGAUACUGGUCUGGUCGAGGACUGGAAGGAGUCGUUACAACAGGGCUGUCCACAGCCCCCACAGGCCUGCACACCAGGGCAAAGGAAAUCUCAACCACGCCCUCCAUAAACGUGGGGACUCUGAUCCUCACAUGGAGCAGGUGACCCACAUCGUGUCCUCUCCCGGAAACACAAUUCAGAUAAAAAUAGAGAACGGGGCAAAGGGGAGAGCCCGCUCUUUACAGAAACCUACAGGUCUCGUGUUCCUGUGUCUGUGCCUGACUCACGGCUGAUGCGUUGGCCUGAAGGCUGGGGAGCUCUCCGUGUCUUUCUGUGUGUGUGUGUACGAGCGCACUGUGCGUGGUGUCUCCCGACCUCUGAAUGGUGUUAUCAAAUCCAUUAAUGAAAUUCCUGAAAGCUGACUUCUCUGCUCUGGUCGGCUUAGACGUAAAUAAGUGCUUAUAUCCGUGAGAUCGUCCCGAAACUCUCACAAAUAUCAAAGCCCACCCAAAUGCUGU
rnacentral:lncRNA from 1 species